CGGAAAAGAACAUUCCCCCCCCUCCCCUUACCGGUGGGCGACGAGAGGAGGGGAUAAAAAAGAACUAGGAACACCAAGAUUGCUUUGAAGGGGAGGAAGCGCAACAGUUAAAAUUGAAAUUUGGCUUUCGGGCCCGAAUUUUAAUUUUUAGAGGAUACUUUUGAUGCGGGCCCUUCCGGAAUUCCCCGGGAACGGGACCCCCAAAAGAGGGUGAGACCCCCCUUUGGUUAGAACCCAAAUCUCUGGAAAAGUCCUUUGGACGAGUCGAGUAGUUUGGGAAUGCUGCUCUAAAAUGGGAGGUAUAUGUCUUCUAAAAGCUAAAUCCCGGCCCAGAGACCGAUAGCGCACAAGUAGAGUGAUCGAAAGAUGAAAAGCACUUUGAAAAGAGAGUUAAAAAGUACGUGAAAUUGUUGAAAGGGAAGCGUUUAUGACCAGACUUGGGCUUGGUUAAUCAUCUGGGGUUCUCCCCCAGUGCACUUUUCCAGUCCAGGCCAGCAUCAGUUUUCCCCGGGGGAUAAAGACUUCGGGAAUGUGGCUCUCUUCGGGGAGUGUUAUAGCCCGUUGUGUAAUACCCUGGGGGGGACUGAGGUUCGCGCAUCUGCAAGGAUGCUGGCGUAAUGGUCAUCAACGACCCGUCUUGAAACACGGACCAAGGAGUCGUCUUCGUAUGCGAGUGUUCGGGUGUCAAACCCCUACGCGUAAUGAAAGUGAACGCAGGUGAGAGCUUCGGCGCAUCAUCGACCGAUCCUGAUGUUCUCGGAUGGAUUUGAGUAAGAGCAUACGGGGCCGGACCCGAAAGAAGGUGAACUAUGCCUGUAUAGGGUGAAGCCAGAGGAAACUCUGGUGGAGGCUCGCAGCGGUUCUGACGUGCAAAUCGAUCGUCAAAUAUGGGCAUGGGGGCGAAAGACUAAUCGAACCUUCUAGUAGCUGGUUUCCGCCGAAGUUUCCCUCAGGAUAGCAGUGUUGAACUCAGUUUUAUGAGGUAAAGCGAAUGAUUAGGGACUCGGGGGCGCUAUUUAGCCUUCAUCCAUUCUCAAACUUUAAAUAUGUAAGAAGCUCUUGUUGCUUAAUUGAACGUGAGCAUUCGAAUGUAUCAACACUAGUGGGCCAUUUUUGGUAAGCAGAACUGGCGAUGCGGGAUGAACCGAACGCGAGGUUAAGGUGCCAGAGUAGACGCUCAUCAGACACCACAAAAGGUGUUAGUACAUCUUGACAGCAGGACGGUGGCCAUGGAAGUCGGAAUCCGCUAAGGACUGUGUAACAACUCACCUGCCGAAUGUACUAGCCCUGAAAAUGGAUGGCGCUCAAGCGUCUCACCCAUACCUCGCCCUCAGGGUAGAAACGAUGCCCUGAGGAGUAGGCGGACGUGGAGGUCAGUGACGAAGC
rnacentral:rRNA from 1 species